UGGGGAAUAUUGGACAAUGGGGGGAACCCUGAUCCAGCCAUGCCGCGUGUGUGAAGAAGGCCUUAUGGUUGUAAAGCACUUUAAGCGAGGAGGAGGGUACUGGUAUUAAUACUACCAGCUACUGGACGUUACUCGCAGAAUAAGCACCGGCUAACUCUGUGCCAGCAGCCGCGGUAAUACAGAGGGUGCGAGCGUUAAUCGGAUUUACUGGGCGUAAAGCGUGCGUAGGCGGCUAAUUGAGUCGGAUGUGAAAUCCCCGAGCUUAACUUGGGAAUUGCAUUCGAUACUGGUUAGCUAGAGUGUGGGAGAGGAUGGUAGAAUUCCAGGUGUAGCGGUGAAAUGCGUAGAGAUCUGGAGGAAUACCGAUGGCGAAGGCAGCCAUCUGGCCUAACACUGACGCUGAGGUACGAAAGCAUUGGGAGCAAACAGG
rnacentral:rRNA from 1 species